CUCUUACAGCAUUCCAAGUUAUGACUUGUUUGUGUAAUGUGGCAACGUCUGUGCUAGUUGUAGAUGAGUUUGGAAACAACUUAUUACAUUUUAAUAAUAUUUUGGCUACUCAAAAACACUUAAAUAUUAGCGGAAAUGGAUGCUUUUAAUUCCAGUACCAAUUGGUACCAAAAUUCAGUAUCAUGACAACCCUUCAGCACAGACAUUAUUUCAAAAUUAAGUGGAUUAGAAUCAUUUUUUUCUAUGGUGAAUGUGUGUUAUACUUUGACAUAACAGGAAAAUGAUUGUUGACAUAUUGGUGUUUUCUUUUCCCCCAAGUUUCUGUGCAUAUAAGGCUCUACAGAUCACAUCAGCAUGCUGGUAAAGGUGAAAUUUGGGGAUGCACAAAAGUUUGUUAAAAUAGCCCAUGUGAACCUGGAGGACUUUUUGUCUGCAGCCUUUUUGAAGUUUGGGGUUCCAAAUGUACCUGAGAACGUGAAGGUUGUGGAUGAAUCUGGGACUGAGGUGGAUGGUGAUGUUUUUGAGGAGUUAAUCAAAGAUCCCUCCGUUGGCGUUCUCACCAUAAAACAUGGUGCAGAUUUGGAACCGGC